GCACAAAAUUUUAAUAGCUUAAAACUAGUUUGAGUAAGGAUAAGUUACCAAUGUAGGCAUCAAAGUCUGGCUUUCGGGCUUCAAUACUAGCCUUGAUACUUUCUAGACUAUGUCCACGCUCUGCCAUGUCCCUCUGCAAGCCUUAAAAC